rnacentral:rRNA from 1 species
UACGAAGGGGGCAAGCGUUAUUCGGAUUUAUUGGGCGUAAAGGGCGUGUAGGUGGCUUGAAAAGUCUGGUGUGAAAACGCUACCGCUCAACGGAGCGAAUGCGCUGGAUACUUUCAAACUUGAGUUCGAGAGAGGCAGGCAGAAUACCUGGUGUAGCGGUGAAAUGCGUAGAGAUCAGGAAGAACAUCGGUGGCGAAGGCGCUCUGCUGGACCAUAACUGACACUCAGGGACGAAAGCUAGGGGAGCGAAUGGG